rnacentral:rRNA from 1 species
GACGAACACUGGCGGCGUGCUUAACACAUGCAAGUCGAACGGUGAAGCGCCUUCCUUUUUGGUGGGUGUGGAUGAGUGGCGAACGGGUGAGUAACACGUGAGUAACCUGCCCCCUUCUUCUGGAUAACCGCAUGAAAGUGUGGCUAAUACGGGAUAUUCUGGGUCUGUCGCAUGAUGGGUCUGGGAAAGAUAUUGUUUCGGUGGGGGAUGGGCUCGCGGCCUAUCAGCUUGUUGGUGGGGUGAUGGCCUACCAAGGCGGUGACGGGUAGCCGGCCUGAGAGGGUGGACGGUCACACUGGGACUGAGACACGGCCCAGACUCCUACGGGAGGCAGCAGUGGGGAAUAGUGCACAAUGGGCGCAAGCCUGAUGCAGCGACGCCGCGUGAGGGAUGGAGGCCUUCGGGUUGUGAACCUCUUUCGCCAGUGAAGCAGGCCUGCCUCGUUUGUGGGUGGGUUGACGGUAGCUGGAUAAGAAGCGCCGGCUAACUACGUG